rnacentral:lncRNA from 1 species
AUCAGAAAUAACACGAUGUUUUGAUUUAUAUCAAUUAUAUAAAUCAAAACAUAAAGGUUAUUUCUGAUUAAUUUUUCGAAUUAUUUUAUAAUUAAAGGCGUUAAGAAACCUUGGUGACCCCACAGUUUAAAUGUCUAUCGUAGGUACGUCGUGAACAGUGGUCGUUACAGACAAACGUUCACGUAAAUUGUCCCAGUCAUUGGAUGAAUUU